GCGUGGCCGAAUGGUUACGCUGUCCGCUUUGUAAGCGGAUGAUUGUGGAUUCGAUUCCCAUCUGCUGCA
rnacentral:tRNA from 1 species